rnacentral:rRNA from 1 species
GCCUAGUCGCACGGGUUUAGAACCCGUGGCGAACAGCUCAGUAACACGUGGCCAAACUGCCCUGUGGACGGGGAUAAUCUCGGGAAACUGAGGCUAAUCCCCGAUAGGGCUUCCAUCCUGGAGUGGAGGAAGUCCAAAAGUUGCGCUGCGGCACCACAGGAUGUGGCUGCGGCCGAUUAGGUAGACGGUGGGGUAACGGCCCACCGUGCCAGUAAUCGGUACGGGUGAUGAGAGUCAGAGCCCGGAGACGGUAUCUGAGACAAGAUACCGGGCCCUACGGGGCGCAGCAGGCGCGAAACCUUUACACUGCACGACAGUGCGAUAGGGGGAUUCCGAGUGCGAGGGCAUACAGUCCUCGCUUUUCUGGACCGUAAGGAGGUCCAAGAAUAAGGGCUGGGCAAGACCGGUGCCAGCCGCCGCGGUAAUACCGGCAGCCCGAG